CCUACGGGUGGCUGCAGUGGGGAAUAUUGCACAAUGGGGGAAACUCUGAUGCAGCGACGCCGCGUGAAGGAAGAAGUAUUUCGGUAUGUAAACUUCUAUCAGUAGGGAAGAAAAUGAAGGUACCUGACUAAGAAGCCCCGGCUAACUACGUGCCAGCAGCCGCGGUAAUACGUAGGGGGCAAGCGUUAUCCGGAUUAACUGGGUGUAAAGGGAGCGUAGGCGGUUUAGCAAGUCAGAAGUGAAAGCCUGGGGCUCAACUGGGAGACUGCAUUUGAAACUGUUGAAUUGGAGUGCAGGAGAGGUGAGUGGAAUUCGUGGUGUAGCGGUGAAAUGCGUAGAUAUUAGGAAGAACACCAGUGGCGAAGGCGGCUUACUGGACUGUAAAUGACGCUGAGGCUCGAAAGCGUGGGGAGCAAACAGGAUUAGAUACCCUUGUAGUC
rnacentral:rRNA from 1 species